GCAGGCCUGUCUUCAGCCCAUGAAGCCAGCAGGUCUCGGAGACCAGGCGCAUGGAGCCAUGAAAGGCAUCCAUCUGGUCCUGCUGGCCGUGCUGCUGUGCUCCCAGCAAGCCCUGAGCCUGCAGUGCUACAACUGCACUGAAGAAGAGGACGUCAGCAAGUGCCAGACCACCAUCUCAUGUGACUCCACACCGAGCAUCUGCUAUAAGGGUGGCAGGACCUUGACCAAGACCAGUGGGCAGGUGGUCAAGUUACAUUCUAAGGGUUGUGGCUCUUCCUGCGAUGACGUUUAUGACAUGAUGGAGCAGCUGGUGGAGAAGAUGGUUUCAGAGGACAGGUCUAAGUUAGAACUGUGGGCUCCGGACUGCUGUGGAAAGGACCUCUGCAACAGGGUGGCCCAGGUGGGGCGCAGCCUCUGGAUCCUGGCCGGGGGGCUCCUGCUCAGCCUGCGGCCUGCCCUCCUCUGGGCCCUGCUGUGAGGACCCUUGGAACCCAGACACCAAGGAGGAUCGCAGUUGCUGGUGGCCUGCACAACAGCUCCCACCUCAA
rnacentral:lncRNA from 1 species